UGGGGAAUUUUGGACAAUGGGGGCAACCCUGAUCCAGCCAUGCCGCGUGUGCGAAGAAGGCCUUCGGGUUGUAAAGCACUUUUGGCGGGAAAGAAAAGGCGCUGGCCAAUACCUGGCGCCGAUGACGGUACCCGCAGAAUAAGCACCGGCUAACUCCGUGCCAGCAGCCGCGGUAAUACGGAGGGUGCGAGCGUUAUCCGGAUUUACUGGGUUUAAAGGGUGCGUAGGUGGGCUUAUAAGUCAGUGGUGAAAUCUCCGAGCUUAACUUGGAAACUGCCGUUGAUGCUAUAGGUCUUGAAUUAUCUGGAGGUAAGCGGAAUAUGUCAUGUAGCGGUGAAAUGCUUAGAUAUGACAUAGAACACCAAUUGCGAAGGCAGCUUACUACAUAUAAAUCGACGCUGAGGCACGAAAGCGUGGGGAUCAAACA
rnacentral:rRNA from 1 species